rnacentral:lncRNA from 1 species
UCAAAUCCAAGGUAUAUCAACUCCCCCAGACUUACCCUUUUGCUUGUCCUCAAGCAAAACAUACAGGCAGUCUCUCUGAAAGAGGUUUGAAAAUAUUUGGGGAUUUAAGACUUUAAAACAUAGAAAUCUUUCCUCAACAAUUUUGCAACCACAUUUAAAAAGUCCUAAUCAUAAAAGCACACUAUGCAAUAUCCUAGCUUAGCAACCAUUUCUAACAUAACACAACUCAUCAAUUCACGUCUGACAUCCCCUCUACUGAUUUCAUUUCUUAGCAUAAAUAUAAAGUGAAUACUUUACCUUGGGAGUAUCGAUCACAGGAUGCAAGGAUUUCAGACAGGUAUCAGGAGCUGCAGGUAAAAGUUAUUUCCUAGUUUCUCUCUCUCUAAUUUUCUCUCUUGAGUCAAAGUCUGCUUCCAUUGCAAGAUCAGUGACCAAGAUUGGACAGGUUUUCAUGAAUCAAAACUUAAUGGUGGUUGCCACCAAGUUCUGUUCACUUCUUUUUGACCUAUAUCCAAAAGUUCUUUGCGAAAGCGAGCCUUGAAGAUGGCCGCCUCCAAGUCCCGUUUCGAACUCUUUUAUUUGAGUCUUUAUGAAUCAAGCCUUAAUGGUUUUAGCCACCAAGUCCUCUUCAGACUCAUCCUAAUUAAACAACAGAUUUUAUAGUAUUUUUUAAUUAUUAUUAUAUAUAUAUUUUUUUUUUUUUUGUUUUUUUUAAUAAUACUCACUAACUAAUCUAGGGUCAAAAUUUAGAGAGAGAAAAUGUGAUAAAUAAUCUAAACCAGGCGUUACCUUCCAGACUUGUCUGAAGAAUCCGAUCCCAUGUAUACCAAGCCCCAAGACAAGCGGUUAUGUCAGGUUUAGUGUUGGAAAUCAGCUUUGGUUACUUCAUACGGUUCAAGGCAAGUGUGUAGUUGAUAGGUUGAUCCGCUUUAGCAUCUUUAGUGCUAUCUGCAAUUAGUAAAUCUAAAAUGGUGCUAAAGAUUGGUUAGAUAUUCAUGUUUAAAUCAAUAUAAGAUUAUAGUCCCUAUUUUCAAUAGCUAAGCAUAAUUUAUUAAAAUUCCUUUUUACAUAAGAAUAAAAUAAAUUAUAUCAGUAAAUCUCCCCCAGACUUAAAUUACACUGUCCCAGUGUAACUCAGCCGGAGUUAUGAUGAAUAGUUUACGAUGUACGAAAUGUAACAAGUAAGGAAGAUACAUCUGACCGGAUUAGAUAUCAAUCGAUGUGUAAG